rnacentral:rRNA from 1 species
GGUGAAUAGUUCAACGGCCGCGGUACCCUAACCGUGCAAAGGUAGCAUAAUCAUUUGUCUAUUAAUUGUAGACCUGUAUGAAAGGCAAUAUGAGGGCUUAGCUGUCUCUUGUAAUAAAUCAAUUAAACUGAUCUUCUAGUAAAAAAGCUAGAAUCCUCCCAUAAGACCAGAAGACCCUGUGAAGCUUAAACUAAACUAUUAAAUCAUAUAAUAGCUACUUUCGGUUGGGGCGACCUUGGAAAAAAAAAGAACUUCCAACACAUAUAACUUACCCGCAGGCCUACCAGCCACACUAAUGACCCAGCAUAGCUGAUCAAUGAACCAAGUUACUCCAGGGAUAACAGCGCUAUCUUCUUCAAGAGCCCAUAUCAAAAAGAAGGUUUACGACCUCGAUGUUGGAUCAGGACAUCCUAA